rnacentral:rRNA from 1 species
AAUAGAUACCCGGGUAGUCCACCCGUAAACGUUGGAACUAGUUGUGGGGUCCAUUCCACGGAUUCCGUGACGCAGCUAACGCAUUAAGUUCCCCGCCUGGGGAGUACGGCCGCAAGGCUAAAACUCAAAGGGAAUUGACGGGGACCCGCACAAGCGGCGGAGCAUGCGGAUUAAUUCGAUGCAACGCGAAGAACCUUACCAAGGCUUGACAUAUACGAGAACGGGCCAGAAAUGGUCAACUCUUUGGACACUCGUAAACAGGUGGUGCAUGGUUGUCGUCAGCUCGUGUCGUGAGAUGUUGGGUUAAGUCCCGCAACGAGCGCAACCCUCGUUCUAUGUUGCCAGCACGUAAUGGUGGGAACUCAUGGGAUACUGCCGGGGUCAACUCGGAGGAAGGUGGGGAUGACGUCAAAUCAUCAUGCCCCUUAUGUCUUGGGCUUCACGCAUGCUACAAUGGCCGGUACAAAGGGCUGCAAUACCGCGAGGUGGAGCGAAUCCCAAAAAGCCGGUCCCAGUUCGGAUUGAGGUCUGCAACUCGACCUCA